AAGACGAACGCUGGCGGCGUGCUUAACACAUGCAAGUCGAGCGGAAAGGCCCUUCGGGGUACUCGAGCGGCGAACGGGUGAGUAACACGUGAGUAAUCUGCCCCUAGCUCUGGGAUAGCUCCGGGAAACCGGGAUUAAUACCGGAUACGACCACCUUAGACAUCUUUUGUGGUGGAAAGAAUUUCGGCUAGGGAUGAGCUCGCGGCCUAUCAGCUUGUUGGUGGGGUAAUGGCCUACCAAGGCGACG
rnacentral:rRNA from 1 species